AUUGAACGCUGGCGGCAUGCUUUACACAUGCAAGUCGAACGGUAACAGGCCUUCGGGUGCUGACGAGUGGCGAACGGGUGAGUAAUGCAUCGGAACGUACCCAGAGGUGGGGGAUAACGCAGCGAAAGCUGUGCUAAUACCGCAUGUGAUCUGAGGAUGAAAGCGGGGGACCGAGCAGCAAUGUUUGGCCUCGCGCCUUUGGAGCGGCCGAUGUCGGAUUAGCUAGUUGGUGGGGUAAAGGCCUACCAAGGCGACGAUCCGUAGCUGGUCUGAGAGGACGACCGGCCACACUGGGACUGAGACACGGCCAAGACUCCUACGGGAGGCAGCAGUGGGGAAUUUUGGACAGUGGGCGCAAGCCUGAUCCAGCAAUGCCGCGUGCGGGAAGAAGGCCUUCGGGUUGUAAACAGCUUUUGGCAGGAACGAAACGGUGUCCGCUAAUACCGGGCGCUAAUGACGGUACCUGCAGAAUAAGCACCGGCUAACUACGUG
rnacentral:rRNA from 1 species